ACCCUGCAAUCAAAUAGAUUGUCCCAAGGGCGCCAUAUUCUAGGAGCCCAAGUUAUGCUAUUGAAAAUUCGUUCCUCUAGCAGUUCCGGUUUGAGCAUUCCGUUCCCUUUUUCAAACUCCACUUCUUUUCAUAUAGCAUCCCUGAUCAAAGAGAGAACAAUAUCCAUUUCAAAACAUUUCUAACAGAUUCCUUAGUUCGGACCGACGAAGUAA
rnacentral:rRNA from 1 species